rnacentral:snoRNA from 1 species
GGGACCUGUGAUGAAAUCUGGAACCAAAAAUACCAUCUUUCGGGACUGAUUUGGCUUUCAGCAGCCAUGUUGUCACUUCCAAGAUCCUGAGGUCUC